rnacentral:rRNA from 1 species
AGUACGUGAAACUGCUUAGAGGUUAAGCCCGAUGAACCUGAAUAUCCGUUAUGGAAAAUUCAUCAUUAAUACUAUAAUAUUUAUAAUAUUAUAGAAAUAGUGUGCAAUUUUUCCAUAUAAGGACAUUGUAAUCUGUUAAUGUAAUAAAUACUUAUCAAAAGAUCUUAUACUUAAGUUUAUUCAAAUUAGUUUUUUUCGGAUUGCUAACAUAGAAUAAAUGUAUUUGAUUUGAUAAAUCAUUGACAGAUAUAAUUAUAUAUUGUGCUUAAAUUUUUCGGAAUUUUACAAUGAUAAAUAAAUCUUUUGAGUUAUUUAUUUAAAUUGUAUGCACAAUUAUGAUUAACAAUGCGAUAGAUUCAGGAUACCUUCGGGACCCGUCUUGAAACACGGACCAAGGAGUCUAACAUAUGUGCAAGUCAUUGGGUAUUUUUAAUAAAACCCAAUGGCAUAAUUAACUUAACUGUUAAAAUGGGAUUAGUUUAUAUUUUAUUAUGAAAUAUGAAUUCAAUCCCGGGGCGUUCUAUACAGUUAUGCAUAAUGAUAUUUAUAUUAUUUAUGCCUCUAACUAGAGCGUACCUUGAGC